rnacentral:lncRNA from 1 species
CCGGUGGCACCCCGAGGGCGGAGCUGCGUUCUGCUCAGCACAGACCUUGGGGGCACUGCCGCGCUUUGGGACAACUCGGGGCCGCAUCAACGUCAAAGAAGAUGGCCACGGAGACAGCAGCGUGGUCAGAGUGGUAGGAGCAGACCAUUGGAGAGAGCUGCUCCGUGCCUGGCUGCCGGGUGCUAGAGCCUGCAACCCACUGGCUUGCCUCACUGUGGUUGGUGGUGGCGGUGACAGAGACUGCAGCACGACCAGAGUGGCUUUUCUGGCUUUGCCCGCCCAGCUGCUCCAUGCCAGGAGGAGGAGGAGACACCUAUAGCCUGUGACACCACGACUUGCCUUGCCGCGGGUGGGUGGUAGCAAUGGAGACUGCAGUGCGCCAGAGCGGUAGGAGAGCGGCCACGCUAGGAGGGCAGGUGCCUGCAGCCAGGGUUGGGGGUCAGGCUUACAGCGAUGGAUGGGCUGCACCAGUAGCCAGGUGGUAGGAGCCUUGUAGGGAGGGCUGGUCCUUUGGCAGUGGGCCUGGCUUUGCCCUGCCCCUGCCAUGGAUCUGGCCCUAUACUGCCCUGCCUUGCCCUGUACUUGCCCUACUGUUACCUGGACUCUCAGCCCCGUCCUGCUCUGGUCCCAUCCUGACCCUGUCUUGGCCCUGUGCUACCCUGUCCCUGCCCUGGUCUUGCCCUGGCACUGGCCCUUCCCUGAACCUGCACUGGCCUGACCUUGACUCUGGCCCUGGCUCUGGCCCUGCCCCUUGUCCUGACCCUGGUCCUGUCAUGGCACUGGCCCUGCCAAUUGUCAUGGUCCCGCUCCUGUUCUGACCCUGACCUGGCCUUGGACAUGUCCUGGACCUGCUUUGGCCCAUCCCUGGCCUGGCCCCACCAUGGGCCUGCCUGUUCUGCCCUCUCCUGGCACUGACCUUGCCCUGUCAUGGCCCAGUGGUGCCAUUGCUCUGCCUUACCGUGCGCUGGUUGUGCCUUGGCCCCUCUUGGUGCUGGUCACUCCCUGGACCUGCCCUGACCCUACCUGGGCU